GUAAGUAUCUGCACUGUUACCAAGUAACAGAUAUUCAGUUACCAGGUAAAGAAGGGGAAACUGUACUGUAAAGUAAAGCGAACGCUCUUACCAAUUUCUUACCAAGCAAUUAAACUUAUUUCAUGUAUCAUGUAAGUAGGCCUACAUGGUACGUUUCUGCACUGUUACCAAGUUACAGAUAUUCAGUUACCAGGUAAAGAAGGGGAAACUGUACUGUAAAGUAAAGCGAACGCUCUUACCAAAGUAUUACCAAUUUCUUACCACACAAUUAAACUUGUUUAUCAUAUAGGCCUAAGUACAUGGUAAGUAUCAGCACUGUUACCAAAUUACAGAUAUUCAGUUACCAGGUAAAGAAGGGGAAACUGUUCUCUUAGGACUCUGUGUUAAUUGCUAGCAUGGAGGUAAAAUUUGCACUGAUGUAGUCAGAGAACGGCAGGAAGUACAGGAGAAAGGUAUAACCCAAUAACUUAACUCAAGGGGAAAUGUAAUAUGAGCUCAUUUCCAAACAUGGGACAGUAUCACUUUAACAUCCGAGUUGGCAGCAGAUAUAAAGACUCAUCAGACCAGGCCUACAUUUUUUACAAUACAAGACUAGAGAAAGUAUUGCCUGGACUGUUUCUGCUGCCAACUCGGAUGGCUGCCUUGUUCCACACACACACAGGUGCAUAUAGGCUAUUUUAUUAUUAUUAUUAUUAUUAUUUCAUUCCAGAAUUCCUGCUGCCCGUUCUUCAUUUCCAUUUUCAUGAAUAUCACUUUCCAAUUUCUAGGUAUUAUGACAGCACACAUUGCAAUUUUCAUCAAUGAAAAAAUUAAAAGGGGGAUUUUCUCCAUGAUCCUCAAUUUUUAAUUUAGAAACAGUCAUUUUUAGCUGCAAAACUUACUAUGUUCAUGUAACCCAGUUGACAAAUGCAUAUUAAAAACGUAUUAGUUGAUUAAAUAGCAUAAAUAGUAAAAUGGGAUAAUAAAUAGUGAUAAUACUGAUAAGGCAAUUCAUGAAUGAAGGUUUGGUAUCGUUAAAAACACGAUUAACAUAGCAGGACUUUUACUGUGACAGUUACGUUAUGGCACUUUUAUUUUGACAUGCGUUUCCACGCAUUCAGCUUUCCGUGGAGCCGUUCCAGUCAGUUGAGCUGAGAAGAGCUCGAAAGCUGAAGGAAAGACUUCGUUUCUUCUGCUCCACCCUGGAGCUAGAUAUUGAUAGAAAAUCAAUUCUAAGUUAAAGAUACCUACUUCUAAGUUUCAUUUUGGACCACCGAGCGACCUGCUCUGUAAAUCUUUUGUGUUUUGAAGAGCAAGAAGCUGCGCUUCGUCGUGUAUUGUUUCUGUUGAAUCGUCUCGGUGAAGUUUUUUGGACCUGGAUUCCGCUGUGGAUUGAUGACUGCGUUUGAUGGCGAGCCACCCACCCCAUUGAGUCGGAUCCUGUCCUGUGUCAUUGUACAUGGUGCAUAUGUGGUAGGGUUGUGACCUGCCUGUGUCACAACAACACUGACUGACUGACUUGAGUUGUUACUUUAACGGUUUACAAACUGAACUAAGGCCUUGAACUGAACGGAACUACUAUAAAGGAACUACUUUUUCUUUUUUUUUCUUGAACAACUGAAAGGAACUCUUUUCUCUUUGAGGAUUUAAAGGACUGAUUUAAAGGACUGUUCCCAACUUUUGGAAAAUAGACAAUUACUCACUUUUGAAGGACAAUUCAUUUUAUUUUAUUUUAAAGGGUCAAUUCUUUUCUUUUAUUUUGGGAAUAUGUACAUAUUUUCUACCUUGCAAUUCAUAACUAAAGAAAGAAAAAAAGUA